CCAGAGUUGAAAAACUCCCUAAACACUUGUGAACUUACCUGUAUUGUUGCUUCGGCGGGCGGCCCCAGGGGGGGCCUCUGCCCCUCGCGGGGCGCUCGCCGGAGGUAUCAAACUCUAUGUUUAUUAUCUGCUUCUCUGAGAAACAUAUAAACAAGUCA
rnacentral:misc_RNA from 2 species